GACCCCAGUGCAGCACUCAUGGUCCCACCUCCCUCUGUCUCAUUCCCCGUGAAUGAGCCUGAACAGCUUCAGUCCUGCCCCUGCCCUGCCUGCCCUGUGGCACCUCUAUGCUUUGCCCAUGCUGUUCCCUUGGGCUGCAAUACUCUUCCUAGCUUAUUUGCCAGGCUCACUCUUACUAACCCUUUCAAGCUCUGUCCAAGCAUUUGCUGCCUCCAGAAGGCCUUAUUGAAGCUUCUAAGUCCCCACCUGGGCACCCCCACACAGUGCUGCCGCAGAGCACUGCCCUCUCGGAGCCCCGGUGCUGGUUUCUGCUUAUGUCUCGCUCCUCUCCCCAUCUGUGAGCUCAGUUCCCAGCCCAGGCGCGUGCCCAAUAAAUGUUUGCUGAACCAA
rnacentral:lncRNA from 1 species